rnacentral:tRNA from 1 species
AGGGGUAUAGCUCAACUCGGAAGAGCGCUGGUCUCCAAAACCGGAGGUUGAGAGUUCAAGUCUCUCUACCCCUG